CAGAGCCUUAUAGAAUCCAAUGAUCUCCUUUUUGAUAUCUUCAGCUGUAGUGAUUUUGGUACCCAUUGCAUUUGUAAGUUCAGUAAUCUGGUUAUGUUGAGUUCUCUCCUUCAUGACUGCAGAGAAAUAUUUAGUGUUGGAAUCUCCAAUCUGUAUCCAUUUUGCUCUGGCCUUCUACUGCAGAACACUUUCCUCAAUCAUUGACCAUUUUUCCAGUUCAGCAC
rnacentral:lncRNA from 1 species